rnacentral:rRNA from 1 species
UACGUAGGGUGCGAGCGUUGUCCGGAAUUAUUGGGCGUAAAGGGCUCGUAGGCGGUUUGUCGCGUCGGGAGUGAAAACACUGGGCUUAACUCAGUGCUUGCUUCCGAUACGGGCAGACUAGAGGUAUGCAGGGGAGAACGGAAUUCCUGGUGUAGCGGUGAAAUGCGCAGAUAUCAGGAGGAACACCGGUGGCGAAAGCGGUUCUCUGGGCAUGUCCUGACGCUGAGGAGCGAAAGUGUGGGGAGCGAACAGG